rnacentral:rRNA from 1 species
CCCUUAGAUGUUCUGGGCCGCACGCGCGCUACACUGACGAAUGCAACGAGCUUAUAACCUUGGCCGAAAGGUCUGGGUAAUCUCCAAAUUUCGUCGUGAUGGGGAUAGAUUAUUGCAAUUAUUAAUCUUCAACGAGGAAUGCCUAGUAAGCGCAAGUCAUCAGCUUGCGUUGAUUACGUCCCUGCCCUUUGUACACACCGCCUGUCGCUCCUACCGAUUGAAUGGUCCGGUGAAGCGUUCGGACCGUGGCCUUUGGACGGUUCGCCGUCUGUUGGCUGCGGGAAGUUCGUUAAACCUUAUCAUUUAGAGGAAGGAGAANUCGUAACA